rnacentral:tRNA from 1 species
GGAGAGGUGCGUGAGCGGUUGAAACGGCGCCCCUGGAAAGGGUGUAGGGCCGCAAGGUCCUCGCGGGUUCGAAUCCCGCCCUCUCCG